GACGAACGCUGGCGGCGUGCCUAAUACAUGCAAGUAGAACGCACAGUUUAUACCGUAGCUUGCUACACCAUAGGCUGUGAGUUGCGAACGGGUGAGUAACGCGUAGGUAACCUGCCUGGUAGCGGGGGAUAACUAUUGGAAACGAUAGCUAAUACCGCAUAAUAUUAAUUAUUGCAUGAUAAUUAAUUGAAAGGUGCAAUUGCACCACUACCAAAUGGACCUGCGUUGUAUUAGCUAGUAGGUGAGGUAACGGCUCACCUAGGCGACGAUACAUAGCCGACCUGAGAGGGUGAUCGGCCACACUGGGACUGAGACACGGCCCAGACUCCUACGGGAGGCAGCAGUAGGGAAUCUUCGGCAAUGGACGAAAGUCUGACCGAGCAACGCCGCGUGAGUGAAGAAGGUUUUCGGAUCGUAAAGCUCUGUUGUAAGAGAAGAACGGGUGUGAGAGUGGAAAGUUCACACUGUGACGGUAUCUUACCAGAAAGGGACGGCUAACUACGUG
rnacentral:rRNA from 1 species